rnacentral:rRNA from 1 species
CCUACGGGAGGCAGCAGUGAGGAAUAUUGGUCAAUGGACGAAAGUCUGAACCAGCCAUGCCGCGUGCAGGAAGACGGCUCUACGAGUUGUAAACUGCUUUUGUACGGGGGUAAACGCAGAUACGCGUAUCUGUCUGAAAGUCUCGUACGAAUAAGGAUCGGCUAACUCCGUGGCAGCAGCCGCGGUAAUACGGAGGAUUCGAGCGUUAUCCGGAUUUAUUGGGUUUAACGGGUGCGCAGGCGGAAGAUCAAGUCAGUGGGAAAAUUGAGGGGCUAAACCUUUUCUAGCCGUUGAAACUGGUUUUCUUGAGUGAGCGAGAAGUAUGCGGAAUGCGUGGUGUAGCGGUGAAAUGCAUAGAUAUCACGCAGAACUCCGAUUGCGAAGGCAGCAUACCGGCGCUCAACUGACGCUCAUGCACGAAAGUGUGGGUAUCGAACAGGAUUAGAUACCCUUGUAGUC